rnacentral:rRNA from 1 species
GCGUUGUCCGGAUUUAUUGGGCGUAAAGCGUCCGCAGGCGGUCAAGUAAGUUCGAGGUGACAGUGCGCGGCUUAACCGCGCAAGGUCCUUGAAAAUUGCUCGACUUGAGGGCUUGAGAGGGACCCGGAAUUCCGGGUGGAGUGGUGAAAUGCGUAGAGAUCCGGAGGAACACCAAAGGCGCAGGCAGGGUCCUGGCAAGCCACUGACGCUCAUGGACGAAAGCUAG